GACAGAGGGUGCAAACGUUGUUCGGAAUUACUGGGCGUAAAGCGUGUGUAGGCGGUCUCUUAAGUCGGAUGUGAAAGCCCCGGGCUCAACCCGGGAAGUGCACUCGAAACUGGGAGGCUAGAGUACUGGAGAGGUUGGUGGAAUUCUCGGUGUAGAGGUGAAAUGCGUAGAUAUGCGGAGGAACACCGACGGCGAAGGCAAUCCCCUGGGCCUGCACUGACGCUCAUGCACGAAAGCGUGGGGAGCAAACAGG
rnacentral:rRNA from 1 species